CCUACGGGAGGCAGCAGUGGGGAAUAUUGCACAAUGGGGGGAACCCUGAUGCAGCGACGCCGCGUGAAUGAAGAAGUAUUUCGGUGUGUAAAGCUCUGUCAGCAGGGAAGAAGAAAGACGGUACCUGACCAAGAAUCCCCGGCUACUUACGGGCCAGCACCGGCGGUAAUACGUAGGGGGCAAGUGUUAUCCGGAUUUACUGGGUGUAAAGGGGGCGUAGACGGGAGGGAAAGUCUGGAGUGAAAGGCAGGGGCCCAACCCCUGAACUGCACUGGAAACGGUCCGGCUGGAGUGCGGGAGAGGUAAGUGGAAUUCCUGGUGUAGCGGUGAAAUGCGUAGAUAUUAGGAGGAACACCGGUGGCGAAGGCGGCUUACUGGACUGUAACUGACGUUGAGGCUCGAAAGCGUGGGGAGCAAACAGGAUUAGAUACCCCUGUAGUC
rnacentral:rRNA from 1 species